CAGGACUCGCAAGACUCCUACAAACCCUGUGAACCUACUAUACGAACGUUGCUUCGGCGGGUGCGCCCCGGGGAUUCGUUCCCGCGGCGCGUCAGCCCGCCGGCAGCCUACAAAUUCUGUUUCUUUGCGUUGGCAUCUCGAGAAAAACAAAUAAGUUA
rnacentral:misc_RNA from 1 species